GGAGUAACAUGGCAGAAGACUUAGAAGUUGAGAAGACACCAACAAUACAGAACACUGAAUCUACUCUUCCUAAGAAAAGGAGAACUCUUCUGAUUGAGGAGACAAUGCUUACAAGUUAGCACAGGACUACAGACUUUCCAAGGGGCACAACUGAAAAAAAAAUCCCUGAAAUAUAUUUGAAUUACAGAAGAAGGUACCACUUGGCACAUGAUCAGGAUACAAAGUUCACUCUGGAACACUCCUCGUGGACCAUAUUCCUAACGGAGCAGUAGUGACUGUGGGAAUAAACACCCCACACCACUCCAGGCUGACAGAAGCCCAGGUAAGAAGCACAGAGCUGGUUGCCAGAUAGAAGGACUGAUUUAUUUUUAGCUGAAAGACCUUGGAAGAGUUUUUAGAAUAAGUCCCUUGAUCUUACAAACAAGAAGCUGAGUCACUUGUCCAAACUCUCGUAGCUAUUUGUGGCAAAGAACCCGCCCUUCUCAUGGACUUUCC